AUGCUGGCUUCGGCAGCACAUAUACUAAAAUUGGAAUGAUACAGAGAAGAUUAAUAUGGCCACUGUGUAAGGAUAAUAUGCAAAUUCGUGAAGCAGUCCAGAUUUUU
ensembl:snRNA U6 U6 spliceosomal RNA